AUCAACUAAAGGUGUUUGAUGAUAAAUAUUUAACUAGCACUAUUUCACUUCCACUAGGGAAUAAUAUUAUUAAGGACACUACAAACCAGCUUAUAAGUGUUCCUUCUUUGUAUAGCUCCCAGCACCAAUCUCUUCAAACAACUUCAACUAAUAAUUCUGCUACAACUUUAUUGCAAAAAGCUGCACAAAUUGGAGCAACUUCUUCAACUGAGUCAUCAUUCCUUGGGAACUUUGGUUUGAAAUGUAGUAAUGGUGAAGGUGGAGAUGUGAACAAAUUUUGUGGCAUGUAUGGUUCAAGUUCACAAGGUAAUUCUGCAGGUGAUUUGUCAGAAAUGCCCCUCACAAAAAGAAGGCAUGUACAAAGUGAAGAGAGUGUAGUCAGGGGGCAAACUAGGGAUUUUCUU
rnacentral:lncRNA from 1 species